rnacentral:rRNA from 1 species
AGUGAACGCUGGCGGUAGGCCUAACACAUGCAAGUCGAACGGCAGCACAGUAAGAGCUUGCUCUUACGGGUGGCGAGUGGCGGACGGGUGAGGAAUACAUCGGAAUCUACUUUUUCGUGGGGGAUAACGUAGGGAAACUUACGCUAAUACCGCAUACGACCUACGGGUGAAAGCAGUGGAUCUUCGGACCUUUCGCGAUUGAAUGAGCCGAUGUCGGAUUAGCUAGUUGGCGGGGUAAAGGCCCACCAAGGCGACGAUCCGUAGCUGGUCUGAGAGGAUAAUCAGCCACACUGGAACUGAGACACGGUCCAGACUCCUACGGGAGGCAGCAGUGGGGAAUAUUGGGCAAUGGGCGCAAGCCUGAUCCAGCCAUACCGCGUGGGUGAAGAAGGCCUUCGGGUUGUAAAGCCCUUUUGUUGGGAAAGAAAAGCAGCAGGUUAAUACCCCGCUGUUCUGACGGUACCCAAAGAAUAAGCACCGGCUAACUUCGUG